CAUAUAGACUCCUAAUCAGACUUUGCCAUUCGAUCAUGCUUGCACACAUCUCAGCAGCUCGAUCAUGCAUGAACCACUACCGAAAUGAUCCCUGGACCAUCCGAUCAAGCCUGCAUAUGAUCAUCACCAUGGGAGUGUGCACAACCACAUGAUCAUGUGCAUAGACCAUGCAUCCACCUUUCCACAUGGUGGACCGUGCAUCCCAU
rnacentral:lncRNA from 1 species